rnacentral:rRNA from 1 species
GAUGAACGCUAGCGGCAGGCUUAACACAUGCAAGUCGAGGGGUAUAGUUCUUCGGAACUAGAGACCGGCGCACGGGUGCGUAACGCGUAUGCAAUCUACCUUUUACAGGGGGAUAGCCCAGAGAAAUUUGGAUUAAUACCCCAUAGUAUGUUAGAGUGGCAUCAUUUUAACAUUAAAGUUCCAACGGUAAAAGAUGAGCAUGCGUCCCAUUAGCUAGAUGGUAAGGUAACGGCUUACCAUGGCGACGAUGGGUAGGGGUCCUGAGAGGGAGAUCCCCCACACUGGUACUGAGACACGGACCAGACUCCUACGGGAGGCGGCAGUGAGGAAUAUUGGACAAUGGGCGCAAGCCUGAUCCAGCCAUGCCGCGUGCAGGAAGACGGACCUAUGGAUUGUAAACUGCUUUUGUACAGGAAGAAACACUCCCUCGUGAGGGAGCUUGACGGUACUGUAAGAAUAAGGCUCGGCUAACUCCGUGCCAGCCGCCGCGGUAAAAC